rnacentral:rRNA from 1 species
AACGACUCUCGGCAACGGAUAUCUCGGCUCUCGCAUCGAUGAAGAACGUAGCGAAAUGCGAUACUUGGUGUGAAUUGCAGAAUCCCGUGAACCAUCGAGUCUUUGAACGCAAGUUGCGCCCGAGGCCAUCAGGCCGAGGGCACGUCUGGCUGGGUGUCACACAAC